rnacentral:tRNA from 1 species
GGAGGGAUGGCCGAGUGGUUGAUGGCACCUGUCUUGAAAACAGGCAUACCCGCAAGGGUAUCGGGGGUUCGAAUCCUCCUCCCUCCG